AGAGAUGUGUGAUGACGCAUAUCAAUAAGCGGAGGAAAAGAAACUAACAAGGAUUCCCUUAGUAACGGCGAGUGAAGCGGGAAGAGCUCAAAUUUGAAAUCUUCAAGGUUUUACCUUGACGAAUUGUAGUUUAAAGAAGUGUUUUCUGUUGGAGUUUUGGUAAAAGUUCUUUGGAAUAGGACAUCAUAGAGGGUGAGAAUCCCGUAUUUGACCAUUACUUUCCAGCUGUGUGAUACACUUUCAAAGAGUCGGAUUGUUUGGGAAUGCAGUCCAAAAUGGGUGGUAAAUUUCAUCUAAAGCUUAAUAUUGGCGAGAGACCGAUAGCGAACAAGUACCGUGAGGGAAAGAUGAAAAGAACUUUGAAAAGAGAGUUAAACAGUACGUGAAAUUGUCAGAAGGGAAGCGUUUGACACCAGUGUUGUUUUCUCGAAAAUCAAUUAAAAAUGGUGGGAUGUUGUGUUGUUAUUGACUUUAUCAGCUUUCUGCACUUUUUUUCCUAUCUUUUUUAAUGCACUUUUCGUUUAACAAGUCAACAUCAAUUUCUUUUGUUGUAAAAGAGUCAUUGGAAGGUGGCUUUCUUUUCGGAGAAAGUGUUUAUAGCCUUUGGCUUCUGCAAUCGGAGAGAUUGAGGUCUGCAGCGUAGAUCCUUCGGGGUUAGAUACACUUGUGCUAAGUUAUAGCCUUUCAUAGACAACUUGUUGACUAUGAUCAGUCAUGUAGCUUACUCGCUUAUGUCAUUUUACCUACGCUUAGGAUGUUGACGCAUGAGAUAUACGC
rnacentral:rRNA from 1 species